rnacentral:lncRNA from 1 species
GACAUGCCCUCAAAGAGGAAAAAACCAUACAAACUACAAUGAAUCUUAACAACCAUAAACAAGACUUAUAUAUAUAUAUUAUGUCCCUAUCUUUAGAGUCAUCUUUCAUGCCUGUUGUUGUUGUUUACCAUUCCAUUAAACCAGACCAGCAAGCUUUAGCCAACGUGAGCCUCCAUAUGAACCCAAUCAUGACUUUAAGCAGGUCAUCUAUGUUCCAUGAUUAAUGAAAAAUCUGAAAACAGGGUAUGAAACCUACAAGCUUCAACCAUGGCCAUCCCAUGGAGAACUUUCAUUUUGUCAGAAAACUAAGGAGCGCAAACCAGUUGUUUAAAUUGCCAAAGUCUAGCAAGGCAAAGGUGAUGUGAAACAUAAGACAAUUUAUAUGUUGUUAAUAUGUUGAUGCCAAUACUGACCACAUGUACAAAACAUAUAAUUCGGACAAUACCACCUACAAAGAAGCAAAAAAGAACUAGCCAAAAAGUAGAUACUUGAGAACAUCAACGUUUAAGCGAUGCAAAACAUAGCCAAAUCAAGCAAGACACAUUAUUACCAAAACUGAAAAAGUACAUGAAAGUCUACGUAUAAAGAAACAGUAUAAACAUACCCAUAGAUGGCUUUCAUUGAGAAUAUCUGGAACUUUGAGAAUUUCUCACAACAUUUUUGCUGAUAAUUUCCCUACAAAUCCCACAAAUUUGAUGGUGAAGUUACUCCCCACAUAUCUACUUGAAGAAUCCCCUGCAAAUGAAAAAAAGGUAUAUGGAUCACAAGUUUAUUCUUUUACAUACUUCUGAGAUUGUCCAUAUAGAUAUAUUCUGGACAACAGUACCAUAUAGUGCAAAUCAUAUAUAAGUGCUACAAAAUUUGAUAUUUGUGUUUUUAAGUUAAGAUCAGAAAUUAACAAACCUUGCUCACAGGGCUCUCUUGGUAUGUCAAAUAAGGACCUUAUUUUUGUUUAGCUAUUGGGCCUACACUUUCACAAGAUAAAAAAAAAAACUCUUAAAAUUGUUCGGUUGGACUUCAAUAAGUAGAAAAAGAAAUUAACACUUGAAAUUUGCCAAACCUCUGGUGAAUCUAAUAGCAUGCCAAGAAGAAUGAAAACAUCAACAAGACCUUGCACUCCGGCCUAUUUGAAUUCUUUGUCGUUGAAACAGGAUAGUAAUUAACAUCAAUGAUUUUAUUGUUGGAAUUAAUUUUGAAAAUAUCUAGCCUAUCCUAGAAAGUUCUAUUGUUAAUGAAGUAAGUUGUGUUUAGCUGUGUUCUAGGAACUUAGGAAGUAGUUAGUUGCUGCAUUUAUUAAUGUCUCUAGGAUGUUCUAAACUCUUAGUAUAAAUAGAGUAUGUACUCUCUUGUAAGCAAGAAGAAACCAAGUAAUAAAAAUUAUCUCCUCCAUUAAGCAUCUCUGUUCUUUCUUGCCACUAUCUCAAAACCUAUCAUUUAUUAAGGUCUGCAGUAACUAUGUAAUAACCUGUUAUCACACUAUAAAACCUAUUGUAAAUCCACUUGAUGAUGAUAACAACAUUAAAAACAAAGUAUACAAAUAUACAUGCACAGUUACUACUCUUCCUCUAAUGUAAGUACUUGUGAGAAGAUAACAUGAUUAUAAUUGAACCUAUUUAAUGACAAACCUCUUCAAGAUUGUCCAAGGAAAUACCGACUUCCAGAACCAGGGCUUCCAAUCAGCUUAGCUGGGUGGGAUACAAUUCUGCACAUGCUGCACAAUCCAAGUGAGCAUGUCAGAGGAAUAAAAGACAUGUCGCAAACUGUCAAAGUUACUUAAACUAGUAUAGGAGAUAUAGGUACAUGCAAGAGUUCAAGAAGCCAUUUUUGAAUAUAAAUUAAUCCAUACUAUUUAGUAUGGUGCUCCUUAAACAAUUCAAGGCCAUAUCAUAGUUCUCCCAACUCUGGAACGUAUAUAACUUAAUCUUGGCUCAAUUCUAAAAUCACUAUGAAAGUUCGUCCAGAAAACCAUGUUCCAGAUUAAGUUCUUCAACAAUCCAAAUUAACAAACCAUAAUAUUCCUUCAAAAAUUAGGAAAAAAAAAAAGGCUAAAUAUAUAAUACCAACAUGGCGACGAACAACAAAAACGAUUCUUUAUUUUCCCCUCUUUUCUUUAUAUAUUACAAUUGAUUGAAACAAAAAAAAAAAUACCCAAUUAUAAACUCUCUCUCUCUCUCUCUCUCUCUCUCCA